UGUGCAGGGACAGGCUGGACUGUCUCAGACAGUCACCUCUGAAGGCAGACAACUUCGUCAGUCGCCAUCUGGAGCCUCCUUCGGUAGUCCUCUACUUGUCUGCUCCAGCCGACUCGAUAGGCAUCGUAAGUUGCCUCGGCAUCCUACAGCUAUUUUUGAAGGUCGGAGAACCUCUUCGACCAGUUUUGGUCGCAGUCAGUC
rnacentral:lncRNA from 1 species